rnacentral:rRNA from 1 species
UACGGAGGGUGCUAGCGGUGUUCGGAAUUACUGGGCGUAAAGCGCACGUAGGCGGGUAUAUAAGUCAUUUGUGAAAUCCCUGGGCUUAACCUGGGAAUUGCAGGUGAAACUAUAAACCUUGAAUACCUGAGAGGGUGAUGGAAUUCCUGGUGUAGAAGUGAAAUUCGUAGAUAUCAGGAGGAACACCGGAGGCGAAGGCGGUUGCCUGGCAGAGUAUUGACGCUGAGGUGCGAAAGCGAGGGGAUCAAACAGG